UACGUAGGGGGCAAGCGUUGUCCGGAUUUAUUGGGCGUAAAGCGCACGCAGGCGGUCUUUUACGUUUUGAGUGACAGGUGGGGGCUUAACUCCCACAGGCCUUGAAAUACGGGAAGACUUGAGGGCUUCAGAGGGACGCGGAAUUCCAGGUGGAGCGGUGAAAUGCGUAGAUAUCAGGAGGAACACCAAUGGCGAAGGCAGCUCGCUGGAACGGUACUGACGCUGAGGCGCGAAAGCGUGGGGAGCGAACAGG
rnacentral:rRNA from 1 species